CCUACGGGGGGCAGCAGUGAGGAAUAUUGGUCAAUGGGCGGAAGCCUGAACCAGCCAAGUAGCGUGCAGGAUGACGGCCCUACGGGUUGUAAACCGCUUUUAUACGGGAAUAACGCGCCUACGUGUAGGGCUUUGCAUGUACCGUAUGAAUAAGGACCGGCUAAUUCCGUGCCAGCAGCGGCGGUAAUACGGAAGGUCCGGGCGUUAUCCGGGUUUAUUGGGGUUAAAGGGAGCGUAGGCCGCAUGUCAAGCGUGCUGUGAAAUGUCCGGGCUCAACCCGGGCCUUGCAGCGCGAACUGGCGUGCUUGAGUCCGCGGAAAGCAGGCGGAAUUCGUCGUGUAGCGGUGAAAUGCUUAGAUAUGACGAAGAACCCCGAUUGCGAAGGCAGCUUGCUGCAGCGGAACUGACGCUGAUGCUCGAAAGCGCGGGUAUCGAACAGGAUUAGAUACCCGAGUAGUC
rnacentral:rRNA from 1 species